rnacentral:snRNA from 1 species
GAUGCUUCUUAGCCUUUUGGCUAACAUCAAUUGUAGUAUCUGUUCUUGUCAAUUUAAUAUCUGUAAAUACCAAGCUCUCUCAAGAAGAGGUUUGGAAAUGCUUAGGCCAGCACAGUGACAGAUCACAAUAUAUGUGAUAAAAUCACAAUCUGC